rnacentral:rRNA from 1 species
AACGGGUGAGUAACGCGUGAGGAACCUGCCUCAAANAGGGGGACAACAGUUGGAAACGACUGCUAAUACCGCAUAAGCCCACGGCUCGGCAUCGAGCAGAGGGAAAAGGAGUGAUCCGCUUUGAGAUGGCCUCGCGUCCGAUUAGCUGGUUGGUGAGGUAACGGCCCACCAAGGCGACGAUCGGUAGCCGGACUGAGAGGUUGAACGGCCACAUUGGGGCUGAGACACGGCCCAGACUCCUACGGGAGGCAGCAUG